UACGUAGGGUGCGAGCGUUAAUCGGAAUUACUGGGCGUAAAGCGUGCGCAGGCGGCGCGUUAAGACAGGUGUGAAAGCCCCGAGCUUAACUUGGGAAUUGCGCUUGUGACUGGCGUGCUGGAGUGUGGCAGAGGGAGGUGGAAUUCACGUGUAGCAGUGAAAUGCGUAGAGAUGAUGGAGGAACACCGAUGGCGAAGGCAGCCUCCUGGGCCAGCACUGACGCUCAUGCACGAAAGCGUGGGGAGCAAACAGGA
rnacentral:rRNA from 1 species